AACCGGAUUAGAUACCCUGGUAGUCCACGCCGUAAACGAUGUCGACUUGGAGGUUGUGCCCUUGAGGCGUGGCUUCCGGAGCUAACGCGUUAAGUCGACCGCCUGGGGAGUACGGCCGCAAGGUUAAAACUCAAAUGAAUUGACGGGGGCCCGCACAAGCGGUGGAGCAUGUGGUUUAAUUCGAUGCAACGCGAAGAACCUUACCUACUCUUGACAUCCAGAGAACUUAGCAGAGAUGCUUUGGUGCCUUCGGGAACUCUGUGACAGGUGCUGCAUGGCUGUCGUCAGCUCGUGUUGUGAAAUGUUGGGUUAAGUCCCGCAACGAGCGCAACCCUUAUCCUUUGUUGCCAGCGGUUAGGCCGGGAACUCAAAGGAGACUGCCAGUGAUAAACUGGAGGAAGGUGGGGAUGACGUCAAGUCAUCAUGGCCCUUACGAGUAGGGCUACACACGUGCUACAAUGGCGCAUACAAAGAGAAGCGACCUCGCGAGAGCAAGCGGACCUCAUAAAGUGCGUCGUAGUCCGGAUUGGAGUCUGCAACUCGACUCCAUGAAGUU
rnacentral:rRNA from 1 species